UACGUAGGGUGCGAGCGUUGUCCGGAAUUAUUGGGCGUAAAGCGCGUGUAGGCGGCUUUGCAAGUCGGGUGUGAAAGCCCUCGGCUUAACCGAGGAAGUGCGCCCGAAACUGCAGAGCUUGAGUACCGGAGAGGAUGGCGGAAUUCCCCAAGUAGAGGUGAAAUUCGUAGAUAUGGGGAGGAACACCGGUGGCGAAGGCGGCCAUCUGGACGGAUACUGACGCUGAGACGCGAAAGCGUGGGGAGCAAACAGG
rnacentral:rRNA from 1 species